GUACUCGUUUCAGCAGCACAUAGACUAAAACUGGAACGAUAGAGAGAUUAGCAUGGCCCCUGUACAAGGAUGACGCACAAAUUCAUGAAGCGUUCCCUAUUAAA